rnacentral:tRNA from 1 species
GGGGGUGUGGCCCAGUGAUGGAGCACUUGCCUAGCAUGCACAAGGCCCUGGGUUUAAUCCCCAGUACUGCCA